AUUGAACGCUGGCGGCAGGCUUAACACAUGCAAGUCGAACGAGUGGCGGACGGGUGAGUAAUGCAUGGGAAUCUAGCUUAUGGAGGGGGAUAACUACGGGAAACUGUAGCUAAUACCGCGUACCAUAGGAUGAGCCCAAGUGGGCGUAGGUAGUUGGUGAGGAAAAGGCUCACCAAGCCGACGAUCUCUAGCUGGUCGGAGAGGAGGACCAGCGACACUGGGACUGAGACACGGCCCAGACGCAGACGGGAGGGAGCAGGGGGUAAUAUUGCGCAAUGGGGGCAACCUGACGCAGCCAUGCCGCGUGAAUGAAGAAGGCCUUGAGGUUGUAAAGUUCUUUCGGUAGCGAGGCGUUAACUACAGAAGAAGCACCGGCUAACUCCGUGCCAGCAGCCGAGGUAAUU
rnacentral:rRNA from 1 species